AUUGAACGCUGGCGGCAGGCCUAACACAUGCAAGUCGACAGAGUGGCGGACGUGUGAGUAAUGUCUGGGAAACUGCACGAUGGAGGGGGAUAACUACUGGAAACGGUAGCUAAUACCGCAUACCAUCGGAGUUGCCCAGAUGGGAUUAGCUAGUAGGUGGGGUAAUGGCUCACCGAGGCGACGAGCCCUAGCUGGUCUGAGAGGAUGACCAGCCACAAUGGAACUGAGACACGGUCCAGACUCCUACGGGAGGCAGCAGUGGGGAAGAUUGCACAAUGGGCGCAAGCCUGAUGCAGCCAUGCCGCGUGUAUGAAGGAGGCCUUCGGGUUGUAAAGUACUUUCAGCGAGGAGGCGUUACUCGCAGAAGAAGCACCGGCUAACUCCGUGCCAGCAGCCGCGGUAAUUC
rnacentral:rRNA from 1 species